UAACAGCUGUAUGGAGUUAAAUCAUUUUUAAUUGAAUUAUAUUUCACUAGUCCAUUGAAUUGAUAAAAAAACCACACGUUUUCAACGAUUUCAAAUAAGACUUCCGGUUUGUGAAACCUGUUGUUGUUGUUAAUUGCUUCACUCGACCUUUCGCCAUUCGUAUCUGCACGCUUGUGUAUCCCUGAGGAAAUUGGCAAUCAUGUCAGCUACUCUGCGGGGAAUUUCAAAAAGUUUGCUAGUCGUAAAGCAAACGGCUCAGCAAAAGGCUACAAUUGUCGCCGGUCCACCGAGGAAUAUUGUAGGAUGGCCUGAAAAGUUGGCCCUUGGUGCUGUGAUGAUUGUGGGAACUGUUGCUCCUGCUGCCUACAUCUUAGCCAACUUGCAGGAGUACAAGAAGAGGGAAGGGGAUUGAUGAUGGACCACAUUUAGAAGAUAUGCUGCCACUUCUUAUUCCGUGUUCAUAUUGUGUGACGAAUUUACACUUCAGACCGAACAUUAGCGAACAUUAUUUCUGUGGCCAAGAGGCAGAAGCUAUUCAGGCAUGUGCUGCUAUCUUCAUUUGAAAUGGAGAUAUGCAAACUAGACUUUCCAUUAAAAUGGAGUCCAAGGCAGUGGUGUGGUCUGGACAGGAGUGGGAGUUUAUACAAGCAGCUCUACAACAGUUGUAGCCACACACCUCGAAAGAACUAUUGAAUUAAUUGGUUUUAUAGAACUAGCAGUGCAUUCCUUUAUAGCUUGAAAAUGGAAUAAAAUAGCUAUUUACAGAAUUA